rnacentral:misc_RNA from 1 species
UACAGAGGACCCGAGCGUUAAUCGGAAUUACUGGGCUUAAAGGGUGCGUAGGCGGAUUCGUAAGUGCUUUGUGAAAUCCCACGGCUCAACCGUGGAAUUGCUUGGCAUACUGCGAGUCUUGAGGUCGGUAGAGGUUGUCGGAACUCUAGGUGGAGCGGUGAAAUGCGUAGAUAUCUAGAGGAACGCCGAAGGUGAAGACAGGCAACUGGGCCGAUUCUGACGCUGAUGCACGAAAGCGUGGGGAGCAAACAGG